rnacentral:rRNA from 1 species
AUUGAACGCUGGCGGCGGGCCUAACACAUGCAAGUCGAGCGGUAGCACAGAGGGCUUGCUCUCGGGUGACGGGCGGCGGACGGGUGAGUAAUGUCUGGGAAACUGCCUGAUGGAGGGGGAUAACUACUGGAAACGGUAGCUAAUACCGCAUAACGUCGCAGGACCAAAGUGGGGGACCUUCGGGCCUCAUGCCAUCAGAUGUGCCCAGAUGGGAUUAGCUAGUAGGUGGGGUAACGGCUCACCUAGGCGACGAUCCCUAGCUGGUCUGAGAGGAUGACCAGCCACACUGGAACUGAGACACGGUCCAGACUCCUACGGGAGGCAGCAGUGGGGAAUAUUGCACAAUGGGCGCAAGCCUGAUGCAGCCAUGCCGCGUGUGUGAAGAAGGCCUUCGGGUUGUAAAGCACUUUCAGCGGGGAGGAAGGCGGUGAGAUUAAUACUCUCAUCGAUUGACGUUACCCGCAGAAGAAGCACCGGCUAACUCCGUGCCAGCAGCCGCCGCCGUAA